CACGUAGGGUGCGAGCGUUGUCCGGAAUUAUUGGGCGUAAAGAGCUCGUAGGCGGUCUGUCGCGUCGGCUGUGAAAAUCCGGAGCUCAACUCCGGGCCUGCAGUCGAUACGGGCAGACUGGAGUUCGGCAGGGGAGACUGGAAUUCCUGGUGUAGCGGUGAAAUGCGCAGAUAUCAGGAGGAACACCUGUGGCGAAAGCGGCUCACUGGACCAUAACUGACGCUGAUGCACGAAAGCUAGGGGGGCAAACAGG
rnacentral:rRNA from 1 species